rnacentral:lncRNA from 1 species
GAAUAGAAGACAACACUGAGAACUUCUAGCUGAGUUAGAAGCACCCGGUCAGGGUAUGUGGGCAGAGGGAAAUACCUGCGUCUUUGGGGGUCUUGGGAAGGGUCUGGCCCAGGGAGGCGGUGCUGGGGUCGAUGUGUAUAAUUCAUCCCAAGUCUCAGUCAGCUGAGCACACUCCUGGGUGAGCAUACUGGAGAUAGCUAAUAACCAGCGAAAUCCCGGCGGAUGACACCAUCUGCAGCCAAGCUGAUGAAUUAAAAUCCAAGUGACAGUGGCAGGAGCUGGAGAGAACUCUGCAAAUGAGGCUGACAGGACAGCACACUGAGGGAAUAGACUCUCCUUUUAUAGCUGCACCACCCUCAGAGGUCCUGGGUCCAAGCCCGCAGGCUGCAGCCGGCUGGAGAAGCAAGGACAGUGCCCUGAAAGCUGCAGUCAGGGGUCUUCUCAGGACACGGCUGGAAGGAAGGCGAGAACCCCUGGAUCUGAAUAGUCCGGAGCAGGCAUCAAGAUCCACUGUCAACAUUGCAAGGCUUGGAGCAGAUGGAGGGUCAUAUACCACAGGCCAAACUAUUUACAAGAGUUAAACUAAAAACUGGUAAGUAACAGAAGUUCUCUCCUUCUAUUUUUACCAUUAUUUUUUCAAAAUUGCUUGGAGUUAGGUUAUAAGAAAACAUGGAUAUGACCUUAGAUCCAGCAAUGGUUUCUUGAUGGUGACACCAAAGGCAGGAAGAAAGGCACAAAUAGAUACAUUUUACAUCACCAUAAAAAUGAAAUGCAGAGUUCCCUUCAUGGCUCCGUGGUUAACAAACCCGACUAGGAUCCAUGAGGAUGCAGAUUCGACCCCUGGCCUCGCUCAGUGGGUUAAGGAUCCAGCCUUGCCAUGAGCUAUGUUGUAGGUUCCAGCGUUGCUGUGGCUGUGGUGUAGGCUGGAAGCUUUAGCUCUGAUUUGACCCCUAGCCUGGGAACUUCCAUAUGCCACAGGUGCAGCCCUUAAAAAAAAAAAAAAAGAAAAAAAAAUUAAAUGCUUUCCUGCUCUGAAAGACACCAUCAAAAAAGUGAAAAGACAACUCACAGAACAGGAGAAUGUAUUUUCAACUUAUUUUUAAAAAUCUUACAACUCAGCAGUGAACAGACAACCCAUUUUUUAAAUGAAUGAAAAGUUGGAGCUAUUUGUACAAAGAACACAUACAAAUGGUCAAAAAACACAUUAAAGGAGGCCUCAACAUCAUUUGCCGUGAAGGAAAUACAAGCAAAACCAUGAUGAGGUACCAUUUCAUGUCCACUAGCACGGUUCUAGUCCAAAUAAGAGAUAAUAACAAGUGUUAAUGAAAUGUAGAAAAAUUGGAAUCCUCAUAUAUUACUGAUGGGAAUGGAAAAUGGUUCAGCCACUUUGGAAGAACAGUCCGGAAGUUCUUCAAAAGUAAAGUUUAGACUUAUCAUAUGACUCAGCAAUUCCAUUCCUUAGGUAUAUGCCCAAGAGAAUUGAAAACACAAGUCUACACAAAAACUCAUGUUCCUAGUAGCAUUAUUCAUAUUAACCAAAACCUGGAAAUAACCAAAUGCCCAUCAACUGAUGAAUGGGUGAACAAAAUGUGGUACAGUGGAAUGUUAUUCAGACUUUAUUGAAUUACUGAUGUAUAUUCCAACAUGGAUAAACCUUAAAAAUAUUAUACUAAGCGAAAGAGAAGCCAGUCACCAAACCCCCCUCAUAUUUCAUUUGUAUAUGUCCAAGAACAGGCAAAUCCAUAGAGACAGAAAGAUUGGUGGUUACUGGGAAUGUGAGGAAAUGUCUGGAAUUAGACAAUGAUUAUGGUUGUAAAAGUUCAUGAGUUUAGUGAAACCUAUGGAAUUUUACACUUUGAAAGGGUGAAUUCAUACAUAGCAUUGAGAACUAUGUCUAGAUACUUAUGUUGCAACAGAACAAAGGGUGGGGAAAAAAAUGUAUACAUGUAAGGAUAACUUGAUUCCCUUGCUGUACAGUGGGAAAAAAUAAAUAAUAAAAAAAGAAAGGGUGAAUUUUAAAG